AACGAACGCUGGCGGCAGGCCUAACACAUGCAAGUCGAGCGAAGCCUUCGGGCUUAGCGGCGGACGGGUGAGUAACGCGUGGGAACGUGCCCUUUGCUACGGAAUAGCCCCGGGAAACUGGGAGUAAUACCGUAUGUGCCCUUCGGGGGAAAGAUUUAUCGGCAAAGGAUCGGCCCGCGUUGGAUUAGGUAGUUGGUGGGGUAAUGGCCUACCAAGCCGACGAUCCAUAGCUGGUUUGAGAGAAUGAUCAGCCACACUGGGACUGAGACACGGCCCAGACUCCGACGGGGGGCAGCAGUGGGGAAUCUUAGACAAUGGGGGAAACCCUGAUCUAGCCAUGCCGCGUGAUCGAUGAAGGCCUUAGGGUUGUAAAGAUCUUUCAGUGGGGAAGAUAAUGACUGUACCCACAGAAGAAGCCCCGGCUAACUCCGUGCCAGCAGCCGCCGUAACAC
rnacentral:rRNA from 1 species